ACAACAGCAGACUGACUGUUUUCAGUUCUGAUUAGACACUAGUGUUGAGAUGUCUGUCUGUCAUGAUAGCACGUACUGAGUCGGGGCCAGUACCAGAUAAGAACAUUAAACUAUAAUCCAUAAAUGUAAGGUAACAACUGAGACCUAAUGGUGCUGUGACAGCAACGCGAUUGAGUUUGAGACAGUGAAAAUACAUAUGGUAUGUUGUAUCUGAACAGGUUAGCUUACGAGCUAAAGUUACUUAGCACAGAUGAAAGUUCAAACAAAGACGUUUAGCAAACUGUUAAAGCACACAAACCAUCGUCAUAUGAGAAAUCUGACGCUAUGACUCUCCACAAGUUGUCCUUCAGGUCGUUAUCUUUGUAAUAUUUGUGUUUUUUAUCAAAAAGCACUCUGUUCUCCGACACUUAAACAAUCAGCCGGUCGGCCAUGUUGGAUAUACCAGUGAAUCUGACG
rnacentral:lncRNA from 1 species